AGAUUCCUACGGGAGGCAGCAGUGGGGAAUAUUGCACAAUGGGCGCAAGCCUGAUGCAGCCGUGCCGCGUGUAUGAAGAAGGCCUUCGGGUUGUAAAGUACUUUCAGCGGGGAGGAAGGGAGUAAAGUUAAUACCUUUGCUCAUUGACGUUACCUGCAGAAGAAGCACCGGCUAACUCCGUGCCAGCAGCCGCGGUAAUACGGAGGGUGCAAGCGUUAAUCGGAAUUACUGGGCGUAAAGCGCACGCAGGCGGUUUGUUAAGUCAGAUGUGAAAUCCCCGGGCUCAACCUGGGAACCGCAUCUGAUACUGGCAAGCUUGAGUCUCGUAGAGGGGGGUAGAAUUCCAGGUGUAGCGGUGAAAUGCGUAGAGAUCUGGAGGAAUACCGGUGGCGAAGGCGGCCCCCUGGACGAAGACUGACGCUCAGGUGCGAAAGCGUGGGGAGCGAACAGGAUUAGAUACCCUGGUAGUC
rnacentral:rRNA from 1 species